rnacentral:rRNA from 1 species
GAUGAACGCUGGCGGCGUGCCUAAUACAUGCAAGUCGAGCGAACGGACGAGAAGCUUGCUUUUCUGAUGUUAGCGGCGGACGGGUGAGUAACACGUGGAUAACCUACCUAUAAGACUGGGAUAACUUCGGGAAACCGGAGCUAAUACCGGAUAAUAUUUUGAACCGCAUGGUUCAAAAGUGAAAGACGGUCUUGCUGUCACUUAUAGAUGGAUCCGCGCUGCAUUAGCUAGUUGGUAAGGUAACGGCUUACCAAGGCAACGAUGCAUAGCCGACCUGAGAGGGUGAUCGGCCACACUGGAACUGAGACACGGUCCAGACUCCUACGGGAGGCAGCAGUAGGGAAUCUUCCGCAAUGGGCGAAAGCCUGACGGAGCAACGCCGCGUGAGUGAUGAAGGUCUUCGGAUCGUAAACCUCUGUUAUUAGGGAAGAACAUAUGUGUAAGUAACUGUGCACAUCUUGACGGUACCUAAUCAGAAAGCCACGGCUAACUACGUG